rnacentral:rRNA from 1 species
GUGGGGAAUUUUGGACAAUGGGCGAAAGCCUGAUCCAGCAAUGCCGCGUGUGUGAAGAAGGCCUUCGGGUUGUAAAGCACUUUUGUCCGGAAAGAAAUCCUUUGGGUUAAUACCUCGGAGGGAUGACGGUACCGGAAGAAUAAGGACCGGCUAACUACGUGCCAGCAGCCGCGGUAAUACGUAGGGUCCGAGCGUUAAUCGGAAUUACUGGGCGUAAAGCGUGCGCAGGCGGUUUUGUAAGACAGAUGUGAAAUCCCCGGGCUUAACCUGGGAAUUGCAUUUGUGACUGCAAGGCUAGAGUGUGUCAGAGGGGGGUAGAAUUCCACGUGUAGCAGUGAAAUGCGUAGAGAUGUGGAGGAAUACCGAUGGCGAAGGCAGCCCCCUGGGAUAACACUGACGCUCAUGCACGAAAGCGUGGGGAGCAAACAGGAUUAGAAACCCCUGUAGUCC